CGCAAGAACUCGUGUCUAUCAUAGGAAAACAAAAUCUACCAAAGUAGAAAUUGGAUAUACUAAACAUGACGGUGUCGCUGCAGUCCAAAUGGAGGAAUCAGAAGAACAAGCAAACAAGGACUCUGGAAAAGCCGCAUUCUCUGAAGCAUAUCAGAAUGAUGAGGUGAUGUUACUUGGCGAGGAUGGACAAAGCAGUUUCUGAUAUUUUUAGC